GUUACUCUAUACAUUUCAAUUCAUUUUACUUAUUUUGUUAGUUUUUUAUUUGUUGAGUAACUCCAUGUGUUAAAAUGAAUUACUAUGUUUUCUUUAAUUCGAUGACUAAUUUUUUAUGUUAGAUACUUAUUUCAUUGUUCUUUUUUCUUUUCUUUUUUUUUUCCUCUAUUUCCACAGUUUCUUCCAUCGUUGAAGAUCCUUGACAUCAGCCAUUCUCAAUGCCUUAGUGAAACCAUUGACUUCUUUUCCCCAAUCUAGAGGAACUGAUUCUUGUAGAUUGCACAAGCCUGAAGAAUGUUCAUGAAUCCAUUGGAAACCUGGAGAGACUCGUGUACUUGAAUAUGAAGGAUUGCAAGAAUCUUAGGAUGCUUCCGAAGAACAUGUGCAUGCUUAAAUCACUUGAAACACUCAUUUUAUCUGGUUGCUCAAAUCUUGAUGAGUUUCCAGUGGAGAUGAUGAAGAAGAUGGAGUCUCUGAAAGUUCUUCAGACAGAUGGAAUUGCAAUAGGUGAAUUGUCGCCAGAAAGAUGUUUGAGUUCUUUUCCAUGCUCUUUAGUAGAGUUAAGUCUGAAGGGGUGCAAUCUUUCUGAUGAUGUCUUUCUUACGGAUUUAAGUAAUCUAUCCUACUUGAGAAGACUACAUUUGGAUGAGAAUCCAAUUUGCAGUCUGCCAGUUUUCAUCAAAGGUUUGAGGAGGAUCGAUGAACUCUCUUUCAAGGGUUGUGAUAGGCUCGAAUCCCUUGUGGGGUUGCCGGAAGUACACCAAAGGAUGAGUAUAGUCGGAUGCAUAUCAUUAAAAAAAAUAACUUUUCAUUCCCCUAAGCAAUUGUAUCCAAUAUAUGUGGGUGACAACUGGAAUCUUGUUGAGUGGGGGUGCUAUUACAAAUUAGAGCCUAUUGAUAGAGUUGAUGUGGAAAUGAUCAAACUUUUGGGCUUGUGCAACUUGGAAUCCAUGCCAGCUGUUCAAAUGCAUUAUCCAGACUCAGACAGCGAUCCAAAAGAGGUCCCCGUCCAGGUGCGCCUUUCUUUCUCUCUCUCAUAAGUCUUAAAUAUAUAAUGGGAAAGAAAUGACUGAGUAAUAUUGUGAUGACUGUGGCAAAUACAUAGGGACUCUAUGAAUGUGGUAUAUUCAGCACGUUUUUUGUUGAGAAUGAGGUCCCAGGCCGGUUCAGCUAUAAAAGUACCAAGUCCUCGAUAUCUUUUAUUGUCCCUUUACUACUUGCUAGUCACAGAAUUCGAGGCUUGAACAUCUUUGCUACCUAUGCAAAGGAAAAUUCAAAUAAUUAUUUUACUAGACCUGGCAUUGCUCCAAUAAUGAUCAAAGUGAGAAACAAGAGUAAGGGUCUGAAGUGGAUCUAUGGCCCAAUAUUCUAUGGUAUCCCAGGUGACGGAGAAGAUAUGAUAUGGUUGAGCCAUUGGAAGAUGGAGAAUAAAACAAUAUUACAAUGUGGAGAUGAAGUGGUGGUUUCGGUAAUAACCGGACCAUGUGACUUGUUUUGGGUAAAGGAGUUUGGUGUCGAGCUUGUGCCAGAGCACCAAGACAAGAUGAGUACCCAACACAACACCAAAUCAGAUCCUAAUUAUCCACUUGUUAUCGGUGGAGAUUUGGAGACGUGGAAGUGCAGACCGGGAAUAUACUUCCUUGGUGGUCGGACAAGUACAGAUACUGACGACAUUGAUAUCCUCACCAUGGACUCUGAUGAAGAAGACACAAGUAUGUUGUGUUGUUGUAUUGCAUUGAAUUAUACUCCAUCGAAACACUUCCAGGUGUGUCUGUAUUCAUUUCAAAAACGUUUCAAUAAAUUUUAUGUUAUUUAUAUGUUUUUCAGACGAAGAAGGGCAAGAGGAUGAAUCUGAUUACACAAUUGCAAAAACGAGGGCUGCUAGCAAUAACUGCAGUUUGAGAGGCUGGAAGGUGCACCUCACGGCUGUCGGCUUCUUUUUCGCGCUUGCUCUAGUAAGUUGGUCCUCCCACUCCCGAAAAAAGAAGCGACAGUCGUCCACAAGCCCACCAUGAGUUUGUAAUUUGACUUGAUAUGGAUAUAUCUUUGCAUUCCUUGCUCUCAAGAUGUUUUCUACCUUCAAAACUUCAGGUUCAGAGCUAAGCAUUCUUAACCGCUUGAGAUAUAAAUGCCCUUUGUAACUAGAUACCGAAGUUCAAAUGUGUUCAACUCCAUCAAAUAUAGCAUAAAAUACAUCCAGCAUUGAAUGCAUGUGUUUUGAACUACAAGAAAUCUUAUACAUUGGGUAGACCGUAUAGUGUAUCACAUUCAAAUGCAAUUAUUCAUGAAGAUGAAGUAUGAGAUGCCCUAAUUGUUUUACCAGAAGAUGCUGGAUCAAUUGUCUCAAAAAAUUAUUUCGGUAAUUGUUGGUAAAACUCAAAGUUAUCCAAAAGUUUGGGGUCAGCAUAAGCUUAUGCAUCAGCAUCAGAUUGUGUCUCCUAUCAGACUGAAGGAAUAAAAUUACUCAAUUUGUGCAAAUAAAAAUAAAAAUUUUAUAACACAUCAAAGAGAUAAUUAAAGGAGACCUCACAAGCUGUACAUCCAAGUGGCAAACAAAUCAAAAUUUUAAAUAAAGCUAAUGGCGCAUGAAGAGUAUUGAAACACUCAUAGCCCUCGCACACAGGUUGCAUGGUCUUUUCUUAUAACAAUAAAAGGAACAAAUUCAUCAAGUCACAUUUGGGCCAUUAAAAAAAGCUACAAAUUCAUCUUUCCAUGUCUUUAUCUCACAAACCCAUAAUGUGGCAAUCCUCCAUUAGAAAGGUAACGUACGUUUUGAAAAACGUGGCAAAUAUUGAAUGAGUAAUGACGCCUCUAAAAAUAAAAUUGAAUUAUUUGAAAGAAUCUCUCAUAAAAUAAAGUAGGGGUAAAGUACAAAAAAUUACUUCAAAUAUUAGUCUCAUGACAUUGUCAUACUUCAUCUUUUAAAAUUGACAAUAUCAUACCUCAUCUUUAGAAUUUGGUCAAUUUUAUACCAUCCUUUAGCCUGACCGUUAAUUUGUCAGUUAAAUACUGACGUGGCUUGAUCCAAACCCCACUUUCUAUUAAAAAAUUAAGAAAAUAUUAAAAACCCCACCCCCUAUCUCUCCUCCCUCAUCUUCUUCCCCUGCUCUGCCCAGAAACGAAACGAACAAAAAAAAAAAAAAAAAAAUCAAAACCCAAUUCGUCCCCACCCCACCCCACCCCCUCUAUCUCCUCCCCCAUCUUCUUCCCCUGCUGCCCAGAAACGAAACGAAAAAAAAAAAAAAAAACUAAAAAUCAAAACCCAGGUCGUCCCCACCCAAGACUUGGGCUCGCACACCCAUGGCUCGCCGGACCUGGGUUGGGUGUCCUCUGGGUGCCUCGGAGCUUCACGGAGACGAAAAGAGAAAGGGUUGACGCCAAUGAUGGUUUUGGUACCGUCGUCGGUGGGUGUGGGUGUGUAAAUGGGUGCGUGAGUGUAGAUCUGGGAGAGGGGUAUAGUCUGUGCGAGAGAGGGGGAGAAAGAGUGAGUGAGCUGAGAGAGAGGGAGAUGUUGGCAUGGGUGGGGAAGGGUGGGGGGUUGCACGGAGGGGGAACGGGAAGGGGUCGGGGUGGGGGGGGGGGAGAUGAGAAUGGGUUCUGGGAUGCAGAGAAGAGAGAAAGGCGAGAGAGAAGGGGAGAGAGAGAGAGGAGAGAGAGAGAGAUUUAAUAUAAAAAUAAAAAAGAGAGGAGAGAGAGAGAUUUAAUAUAUAUUUUUUUAAUUUUUGAAUAUUUAAUUAUUAAAAAUGUAUUUUAUUAUUUUUUAAUCCAAUUGGAUUGGAUUAGUGAGUGGAACACGUGUCGGGCCACGUCAGUAUUUAACAGAAAAAUUAACAGAAAAACUGACGGAGGUGCGACAUUGACACAAAUUCCUAAGAUAAGGUAUGACAUUGUCAAUUUUAAAAGAUGAGGUAUGAAAGUGUCGUGACACCAAUAGUUGAGGUAGUUUUUUUAUACUUUACCCAAUAAAGUAACGAAUAAUCAACAAAAGUAGCAGUACACCAAGUUGAACCUUUUUCAACGUUGAAAUGAAAUAUGAAAGGAGAUCAAGUUGAUAUUAGUCGUCACUUGUAUUUUAUUUUUUUGAAUAAACGAUAUUGUCUACAUUGAGGAGAAUGAGUUCGUUAAGCCUUACAAUGGGCUAGUAAUAAUAUAGUUCAAAUUCGUAUUUGGCGAGAAUCAAAUCUAAAGUUUCUCACUUACAAAUGAAGAGAAAUAUCAUUGGACUAUAACAUUAUUCAUCUACUUAAAAAUAAUGAAUAAUCAAGAAAAACAUUGCACGGUCCCCCUCUCGUCACUUACCACUAGUGGCCAUCACUUCCUUGAGCAAAAGAGAUCUUUCGAAUUGCUUGACCAAAAUAAGAAUUGACUUGGCUGUCCGUCCAUCAAUAACAGGUCCACAUCUCAACCCAAAUAUAAUGACGUCAAAUGAGAAGGAAACUCUGGGGGGUACAGGGAAGGAAAAUGAGAAAAAGGGAAAAGUUGAAGGGGAAGGAGGAAAAUGACAGGAAAUUUCGGAGAAUAGAAAAAAGGAGAAGGGAUAAGAAGGAAAAAUGGGAAGGAAGCUUAGGAGGGUAGAGAAAAAGAGGGAAAUGCAUAAAAAUAAAAAAUAAAAAAGGAAAGUCGCCUUCAUCAUUAUGCCUACUAACGGAAAGGAGCAACCGCAUUGUAAAUUAUAUUUCGUAUAAUGAGAAACCAGUAUUCCUACCCCGAGGAUAUAGACACAACUUGCCGAAUCUCGUUACUAUACAGCAAACAUAUAACUGCACAACAAUUCGAUCAACCACCUUAAGCUCAAUCAUAAAUGUACCAAGAUUCAAGUUUUUCCAAACUUUCCUUAUGAAAUUAACUGAACAUUACAAGUGCCAUAUUAUUAUGCGGUUCUAUCAAGUUUUAAUUUUUGUCUCAUAACCACAUCAUCUUUAGGACAAUCAAUAUUGCAGUUGAAUAUAUAAACCUUCGAUAUGGUGAUAUUGGAAACACUAGUUGGUGGGUUAAUUGGUAGAAAUUGUUCCAACAAUUCAAGGACGAGAAAUGAGUAUUGAGCAACGAUCAAAAUGUGUUGUAUUUUAUCACAAAAGAUGUUUGUGCAAUUAGAAGUACACUAGAAAGUUUGCCCGAUCGUUGCUGCGGGAAUGUCAAAUAUAUUGUAAGUAUUGUAUAUAAAUGUUACAUAAGGGAACAAAUAUGUUGCAAGAAUUGUGUGUAGAAUUUAUAAAACACGUACCAAGUAUUUGCAUAAAAUUUAAAAUAUAUAGUUGUUACUUGUUCAAAUUAUAACAGCUUGUACAAACAUGAGUUUGAAAUUCACCUGCCUUAACUUCUCCACACUUUACACACAGAGACCCUUAUCUUUUUUGGUGGUUUAAAAGCUUGCAAAUCACGGGAGGCUGUCCAUUUUGUUACAAAGAUGCAGAACCAAAAUAUAUAUUUUAUCAAUUUUCGAGAGCAUAAAUGGACAAAUUAAAUUGUAUGUAAAGAAUGUGUAGCAAAAUAUCAAAUAGCAAAAGAAAUCUCAACAUAACUCUACCACAACAAUAAGGAAUCUCAAAUAGAAAAAAGGGAGACUUUGGAUGCGGUCCCUAGUUAUGAAUAGUCUUUGACUGAAACCUUGUUGGUUUUCAAUUUUUGAUCCAAGUCCCUGAAAUUAAUUGAUAAUUUAUUUCUAUGUACGUUACUAUAUUUUUUAAAUUAAAAAUUAAAAUUUAUAGUUGUUUAUAGUAAUGAGAUUUUAAAUAAAAAACCAUAAUUUGUGGGAUUAAAAAUAUUAAAAUAUAAAUAUACUAUUGUGUGUGUGUGUGUAAACAUGGGUACAUUCAUAAAAAAUAACCAAAAAAUUAUUGUAUCAAAACAUGGAUACAUUCUUCUUCAAAAUGGGUACAUUUAGCAAAAAUAAAAAUGGGUACAAAUAAAUAAAAAAAAUAUGGGUACAAUACAAAUAAAACUUUAAAAAAUAUGGGCACAAAAAGAAAUUAAUAUAUGGGUACAAAUUAAAACUGAAAGGAAAAUUGGUACAAAUUAAAAAAGGGUUGCAAAUUAAAAAUGGGUACAAACUAAAAAUAAAAAUAUAUGAUAAAAAAUUUAGCCAUAAAUAUAAAUAUACUAAUUGUAAUAUUUUUAAUAUUAAAUGAAUAUAUUUAGAAAUAAAAAAUAUUUUAUUAUUGAAAUAAUUAAUGAUAUUAUUAAUACAAAGGAUCUUGAUCAAAAAUUGAAAAGUAAUAAGGUUUUAAUCAAUAGAGUAGUAAAAAUAAGGAUGAAAACCUAAUUACUCCUAGAAAAAAUCUACCAACUACCAUACGGAUGAUUUUUAAAUGAAUAAAAGCCUACCCUAUUAUGGAGAGCUUAUACCUUUCACUUGUUUACUGUUCUUGAUGAGUUGCAAAACACAACCAACAAAAGAAAAUCAAACAAACAUCAAAACAAAGGUCAUGCCUGAUAAGAAGGUUUCAUUUAUAAUUAUUUCUAUUUCUACAUAAAUACUAAUAAAUUAAGCUCCCAAUGAUCUGCAUAAACAUUUGCAAGGCCUUCUUUUCCAUCGAUGGAAAUGACUGAAACAGAUUCAACCCAUGUCUUAAUUACAUCAGUUAUGUGUUGAACCACCUAAAUCGACUCAAAUCACUGAAGAAAGGCAAUCAUCAGCGUUCAAGCAAGUGAAGCAAAAAAGAAAAGGUAGGACACAUGAACAUUGUGAUUUUGUACCAUCACCUGGACAGUCUUGCCAACGUAAGGGCAGAGGACAGAAAUGAAUGAACUCAAUUCCAAUACGCUAACCGUUAAAGGUAUAUACGUCAUGACAGUCUUAUGAAUAACCAAAUUAUCUGAAGUUCAAGAUAUUGGAUAGCUACAUACAGAUUUGGAGACAAAACCAACAAAUCCAGGCCAGUAUAGCUUGCGGUGAAUAAUGUUAUCAAUGUUCCAGCAGUGUCACCAAUCUUAAAAACUCCAGCUUGAAUUCCUCCAACAGUAGCUGGGCCAAUGACAACCUGCAAAAGAUACGAUAAUUAAAGUUAAUAUCGCCAGUUCAUUUUCCCAGGUUAGUGAAAUUAAGAUGACUUUGCAUCAAUCGUGUAACCUUGUUGUUUGCCCAUGCAUAUGCGAUCAAUUGCUUAGUGUCUGACUCAGGUACACCUUCAGCAAUGACCGCCACAACUCUAAUGGUUGGUUGCUUGAGAGCAGCCAUGGAAGAAGCGGCAGCACUGCAGAUAUAUCAACAUACAUUCAUCGUUAGGUACAACCAUAGAAGUUUCGCACUCCAAAACACUACUCAUAGAAUAAUCACUGACCUUCUGUACGAAGCAAAGUUGAUUAAGACAUCAGCAGUAGGCUGUGCAGUGCGUGAUGCUUCAAUGUUGCAAUAGUUAUCAACCCAAAGGUCAGACAAUCUCGAAACAACAGAUCAAGAAUGGUAAUCUGACUAAUAACAUGAUUUGAAUAUAUUAGAUAUGGAAAAUUAAGAUUAACCAAGCAUACAUGCAUAUACAUAAUUAUACAAAAGGUGGCUUGCGGCAACGAAAGACGAAAUCUAGGAAGAGGAUGAGAGAAUGGCAACUUACUUUUAAGUGCAUUGGUAUGGCGAUUUCCUUUUGACCGAAAAAUAGCUUCUGAAAUCCCUCAGAACCAGGGUUAAUGAUUCCACCAACUGACGGUGUCUCCCUCCGUAUUACAAACCUCAGUUAUUACAUUUACAUCUUUUUCAAAAACUAAAAACUAUAAGUAAGAUCAAGUUCGAAGUAGGAAAUGAUACACACCGCAAAGGACGUCAAAAUCGAGUUAGAAGCACCUGAUAUAUCUUGCCAGUGGUAAUGUUGUUAUCCCUAGGUCCAAAUCAAUCUACAAUUACAAUUAAAGUUUAAACAAACUCAGCAGCAUAAAGUUUAAAGAUAAGACUCACACUCAACAUGAUACCAAGAUAGAAUCCAAAAAUAAAUUAAAGAUAUGACUAAAAUUAUUUGUUCUAAUCGAACAUAUUUCCUAGUUUUCUUAUCCAAUUAUACAAUUGCAGUUCCUAAAACAAAAAAUAAUUAAAAAGUAAUUUGCAGAAAGAAAAUUAGAAAAUUCGAACUUGACAACAAUCUACCUUAAGAAACCCCAUGACCGAGUAACAGCAACAACAACAUUGAGACAUAAUUUGGUGAAUAUAUAUGGUGGACAAAUUUAACAACUCUAGUACUGUUAACAAAGCUUCAACCAACAACAACAACAACAACAACAACAAAGCCUUUUCCCACUAAGUGGGGUCGGCUAUAUGAAUCCUAGAACGCCAUUGCGCUCGGUUUGUGUCAUGUCCUCCGUUAGAUCCAAGUACUCGAAGUCUUUUCUUAGAGUCUCUUCCAAAGUUUUCCUAGGUCUUCCUCUACCCCUUCGGCCCUGAACCUCUGUCCCGUAGUCACAUCUUCAACCAAUACAACAUAAAUCAAAUCAAUAUAUACCUGCAUAUCCUGAGUCCGAAUUGUACCCUCGUGCCCUGCAAUGCCUUGGUGAGCGACUCCUGCUUAAAAUCCAAACACACAUUUAACUUUAACAACACACAAAAAAUCAAAACUCUCAUCAUUAGAAAACCAAAAGGAAAACUUGAAAUUAUAUACCUGAAGCACAAAUGGUUUGCAAACGCAUAUACAAAAUUUUCAAAAAACAAAGAUCACCGUUUCCUGAAAAUGAAAAGAAAAGCAAAUCAUAGAGCCAAACCGAGAAUCCGAACACAGAAAUAAAAUCCCCAAAGUUAUGAAAACAAAAUUUAAAUGCAACACACAUCUGCAAACGGAAGACCACCCCAAAAAAAAUUAAAUUUUGUUCGACAAAAAGCCCAAAAGAAAAGGUAGAUUUUAUAUACACACCUUGAACACAAAGGGCUUGCAAAGUUGCAUUGAGAGCCCCAAAAUUGGGACAUGAGCGUUUCCUGAAACCAAAUAAGCGCACAUAUCAAACCCCCAAAAUGAAAAAAUAGAAAAUUUAAAGACAAAAUCCAUCUGCAAAUCGAAAACCACCGAAAAAAAUUAAAUCAGAUACACUGGAAAAAACGCAAAACUCACUGGAACAACACUGGCGUGGAAGAGAAAAAAAACUAGGUUCGAAAAUAAGCAGAAGGUGAGAAUGGAGAAAGAGAGAAGCCAGCGGAAAGAAAAAGCUAAGAGCACUAUUCGAUCCGCCAUAUUAAACAGUAACUGCCUUAAAUGAACUUAAAUGAAUAGUAAUUACCAUUAAUGAACGGUAAUUGUCAUUUACAUCUCCACCGUUGGAACCAUCUCCCUAGCAAUAAGCAAUUAAAAUAAUAAUUUUUUUUGUUUGUUUAAAUAAUAAAAAAAAACCCCUCCCUCUCUCUCUAUAACACAAAAAAAAUAAAAAAUUGCAAAGCCCUCGGGCCACAGGCCCGUCGACUCCCUACCCCCCUUCGCUCGGGUUCCCACCAUCGCUCGGCCUCCACACGGCUGGACCUCUCUCCAUCGGGCCUCCGGCCCCUUCUUCUCCACUGUCCCCCGAUGGGUGGAGUUGCUCUAAGAAGAGGUUGGAAACGGAAUAAUAGAAAAGCAUAAAUGAGUACGAAAACACGAAUCUUUGUGUUUUUACGGGAGUAGUAGAAAAUAUUAUUUUUUAAGUUAUAAACUUUAUAAUACACAUAUCUUAUUAUGUAUAUAGUUACACGUGGUGUAAUAUUCCGUGUAACGAUCAUACUGAAAAAUCUCUUGUUAAAUUUAGGGAUGUGAUAUCUACACAUCUUAUUUUACUUCUCACACACCUUUGUAAUUUUCGGCCGUCGGAUCGGAUGAAUUGAAAAAGAUCAGCAAACAAAAAAUAUUAAGGGUGUGUGAGAAGUAAAAUAGGGUGCAUCGAUAGCACAUUUCUAAAUAUUUACAUAGCGACACGUGGUGUACCAUCCCGUGUGACGAUCACACUGAAAAAUCUCUUGUUAAAUUUAGGGGUGUGAUAUCCACACACCCCAUUUUACUUCUCAUACACCUUCUUAAUUUUCGACCAUCAGAUCGGAUGAAUUAAAAAAUAUCAACUAACAAAAAUUAUUAAAGAUGUGAUAAGUAAAAUAGAGUGCGGAUACCUAAAUUUAACAAGAGAUCACAUUUUUCAAUAUUUUUUUGGUCUUCCCACCGUCUACACAUGGGUUUAAAAAAUUAAAAAAGUAUAAAAUUUUUAUUUUUUGUUGUGCCACAAACCAUGUGGCCAGGUUUUAAUCAUUUUUUAAUAAUUUUUUUGUCCUCCCACCAGUUACACAUGGGUUUAAAAAAAGGAUUUGGAUUGUCUGCCCUCCUAGUUGUGAUGCCCUUCUAUUUUGUGCGGUCACGGUUAAAUCAAGUCAAUAUUUUAUAUUUUAAUUAUUUUUUGUCUUAUUAUCUCAUUAAAAAAUUAAUAUAAAAUAUUAACGUAGCUUAACCGUGACCGCACAAAAUAGGAGCGCAUAGAAGGGCACCACAACUAGAAGGGCAGACAAUCCAAGUCCUUAAAAAAAUUUAAGAAUGUAUAAAGUUUUUUGUUUGUUGUGUCACAAACCACGUGGACCGGUUUUAACCACAUUUGUUUAAUAUUUGUUUGUCUGCCCACCGGCUAUAUGUGACUUAAAGAAAUGUUUUUUGGGUCAAUGGAUGGGAACGACCCAUUUUAUAAUUGUUUGUAAAUUUUUCUGGAAGUAGAUGGAAAGGACCCAAUUACAUAUUUCCCCUGCUCACAGACAUUUGCAUUGCACCUAGCAAACACCAGUUUUUUGUUUGAACAUCGAUCCCCUCAUCAAUGGCUCUUGUGAGAACAUAUCCAAGAAUCUCCUCUAAUUCCAACACUUUUCGGAGUUAUCGCUACGACGUGUUCUUGAGCUUCAGAGGCGAAGAAACUCGCAAGACUUUUACCGACCACCUCUACACAGCUUUGAACAACGCAGGAUUUCUUACGUUCCGAGACGACGAUGAACUUGAGAGAGGAGAAGAUAUAAAGCCAGGACUGCAGAAAGCGAUCCAGCAGUCACGAACUUCUAUUGUCGUGUUUUCGAAAGAUUACGCGUCAUCCAGGUGGUGUCUUGAUGAGCUUGUGCUGAUCCUUGAACGCAAGAGGACCACCUCGGACCAUGUAAUUUUACCAGUCUUCUACGAUGUCGAUCCAUCCCACGUGAGGAAGCAGACAGGAAGUGUUGGAAAAGCAUUUGCUAGAAGCCAGAAACAUCAGUCGCUGGAAAAGGUGGAGGGAUGGAGGACGGCACUUGCAGAGAUUGCAGACCUAGCAGGCAUGGUCUUACAAAAUCAAGCAUAUGGGUAACUUUCAUUAUCUCCAUUUCUCUUCUCUUUCUUGGGUCAAUUUGAUGUAUGAUCCGUAGUGACAUAGAUUUUUAUAUAUUUAUUAAUUCAAUCUCAGUAGUGAAUAAUAAUUCCAAUUUAGGUCAACUUAAAGAAAUCACACUCAACUCAACUUAAGGAUUAGUCAUUUUCCAUGUUAUCUACUGGUUUCCAGUUGCUUAAUUUUUUUUGAAAGCUGGUGUGGAAAAAAGUUAGGAUGUGAUCUGUGAUGUAUUUGUCUAUAGUUCGUAUAAAUUAUGCGUUGUAUUCCUUUUUUUUUUCAAAUUAAUUUUGUCAGCAGUCCUAUUUUUUUUCUUAUUUAAACAAAGGCAAUCAACAUAUGUUUUAAUUAUCUAAUUUCCCCAAUUCAUUUUUCAUUUUUCAUUUUGUUUGCAAAUUCUUAGGUACGAGUCAAAGUUUAUCAAAAAAAUUGUUAAAGUGAUAGGAGACAAGUUAAGUCGCACACCAUUGAGUGUUGAACCAAAAUUGAUCGGAAUUCAAUCUCAAGCCGAACGCAUCAAUUUAUGGUUACAAGAUGGAUCAAGUGAUGUUGGUAUAUUUGUUGUGUAUGGCAUGUCUGGAAUAGGGAAGACAACCAUUGCAAAACAUGUUUACAAUUCAAACUUUAGAAGCUUUGAAGGAAGUAGUUUCAUUGAAAAUAUCAAAGAAACAGCAGAUCGACCAAAUGGCUUAGUUCAAAUACAAAUGCAACUUCUUUGUGAUAUUUUGAACGGCAAAGAAGUGAAAAUACACUGUGUUAGUCAGGGAAUAAUUAAGAUUGAAAGGGCCGUAAGCUCUAGAAGAGUUCUACUUGUUCUUGAUGAUGUCGACCAAAUGGACCAAUUGGAUGCAAUCCUAAGGAUGAAAGAUCAGUUUUAUCCAGGAAGUAAGAUACUAAUAACAACUAGGCGUGAAAGGUUGCUAAAGGCAGAUCAAGUUACAGAGGUGCACAAUGUUCAAACUUUGGAUUACAAUGAAUCAUUAAAGCUUUUUAGUUGGCAUGCUUUUGGCCAGGACCAUCCCAUAGAAGAAUACACGGAGCACUCAAAACAGUUAGUGCAACAUAGCGGCGGACUUCCAUUAGCUCUAAAAGUUUUGGGUUCUUCUUUAUCAGGGGAAAGUAUAGGUGUAUGGGAAAGUGCAUUGGAGAAGCUAAAAGUUAUUCCUGAUGGUGAAAUCAUGAAUAAACUAAGAAUAAGCUAUGAAAGUUUAAAAGAUGACCAUGAUCGGAAAUUAUUCCUCCACAUUGCUUGUUUCCUAAUAGGAAGGAACAAAAGCUACAUUGUUAGAAUAUUGGAUGGAUGUGAUUUCUAUACAAUCAUUGGCAUUCAAAAUCUCAUUGAUAGAUGCUUGGUGACACUUGAUGAACACGACAAGGUGAAAAUGCAUGACAUGAUUCGUGCUAUGGGAAGAGAAAUUGUUCGUCAAGAAUCAGAAGAGCCUGAGAAACGUAGUAGAUUAUGGCGCGAUAAGGAUUCUUUCCAAGUAUUGAAGAAAAAGAAUGUAAGAAACAUGCCUUUUAUGUCUAUAUUUGUAUUUCAUCUUGUGAAAAUUAUGCAUAUUAAUGUCUCUUUUUUUUUCCUUUAGGGUACAAAAAAAAUCCAAGGUCUUGUCCUGGAUAUGCGUAACCAUCCUGCAAACAAUCCAAUAAACACAAAUGAGAUAGUCUUGGAAACCAAUGCAUUUGCAAGGAUGUCCAAUUUACAACUACUCCAUCUUAGUCAUGUACGACUGGAUGGAUGUUAUGCAGAUUUCCCUACAGGAUUAAGAUGGUUGUGUUGGCUUGAAUUUCCUUUGGAUUCUAUGCCAAUUGAUUUUCCUUUGGAGAACGUAAUUGUUCUUGAAAUGCAAUACAGUAGCUUGAGACAAGUAUGCAAAGGAACAAAAGUAUGUUACUCCAUGCAUUUCAAUUCAUUUUCCUUAUUUUGUUAGUUUUCUAUUUGUUGACUAACUCCAUGUGUUAAAAUGAACUACUAUGUUUUCUUUAAUUCGAUGACUAAUUUCUUAUAUUAGAUACUUAUUUCAUUGUUCUUUUUUCUUUUUUUAUUUUUUUUCUUCCUCUGUUUCCACAGUUUCUUCCAUCGUUGAAGAUCCUUGACGUCAGCCAUUCUCAUGGCCUUAGUGAAACCAUUGACUUCUCACUUUUCCCCAAUCUAGAGGAACUGAUUCUUGUAGAUUGCACAAGCCUAAAGAAUGUUCACGAAUCCAUUGGAAACAUGGAGAGACUUGUGUACUUGAAUAUGAAGGAUUGCAAGAAUCUUAGUAAGCUUCCGAAGAACAUGUGCAUGCUUAAAUCACUUGAAACACUCAUUUUAUCAAGUUGCUCAAAUCUUGAUGAGUUUCCACAGUUUCUUCCAUCGUUGAAGAUCCUUGACGUCAGCCAUUCUCAUGUUCUUAAUGAAAACAUUGACUUCUCACUUUUCCCCAAUCUAGAGGAACUGAUUCUUAUAGAUUGCACAAGCCUGAAGAAUGUUCAUGAAUCCAUUGGAAACCUGGAGAGACUCGUGUACUUGAAUAUGAAGGAUUGCAAGAAUCUUAGGAUGCUUCCGAAGAA
rnacentral:lncRNA from 1 species